AUUUUUCACCAUUUUGAACCCUCAUUUUAUAUCCCUUCAUUUUUUUUUUAAUCAUUCAAAUUUUGAAUGGUUGUUAACAAUUUUCUAUUUGGUGUGUUGAAUUUCAAAGAAAUAUUUUGUUUAUAUGUUGCCAAUAAAAGGAAUGAGAUCCACUCACAGAAAUGCACAAUCAUUCACACCAUCACUGAGCGCCAACUGAACCCGAGUUAAUGAUUAUUUGCUAAAAACAAUCAAUUCAUUGGAAUUGGGGUUGUACAUCCGGUCCCAGUAAGCUUUGAAGACAGAAACCAUAGCUGCUGUCAUUUGUGACGCAGGUGCCAUGGCGACCACUUCCUUUGGAAAGAGUCGCGAUUAGGUUGCAUAACUAUUUGGUGGUUCACCACUGAUUUUGCUUUGAUUAUUGUGCACGUGUAACGGUGUCAUUCACUUGAAUGUUUCCAUGUGACUUGGCUGCUCGGUGUGAGGGCCAAUACACAACUCUUUGCAAUCUUCAUGAACUGUCGCGUCACUUGCACUUAGUUUCUACAAGUGUCUGUUUCUCCCCCAUCCAACUUUGUUCCGUCAGUCUGCAAUAGGGUGGAGUUUGAGUCACGUGACGACAUUGUGAGGUAAGAGCUCGAGUGCAGAAGAGAAGAGCGGAGUUGACAGAAAUUCAUUCAGCAUGUUGCUGUGUGCUUGGUCGCUGCUCGUCAUCACUGUGGCAGGCGCCAGCGGUGACCAGCUCGAGGCAGCCACGGGCGAAGUGUUGGCAUCAGAAGGCAAACAGGUGACACUGUCGUACGUUUACGCCACAGGGCUGACUGGUGCUGAUUAUUUCUUCUGGUACCAACAACUUCCUGGACAAGCGCCACACUUCCUGCUUUCACACUUGGGAACCGGCACCCCGUUAAGCGCCAAGCCAGGAAUGUCGGCGAGCGUGGGAAGUGACAGGAGACGAGUGCACCUGCACAUCGAGGAUGUGACAAUUGAGCACUCUGCGGUGUACUACUGUGCCGUGAUGCCGCACAGUGACACAAGCGCCACAUUCUCGUUACAAGAACAUUUCUCUUCCUUAUCUCAUCACAUCACACUCCGCUCCAUCACUCUAAAAGCCAGAAAAGGGCACCCAUCGCCAAAACUAUUCAUUCAAUCAAGAAAAAUAAAAACCAGUAGUGUGUAUUUAAACACAUUUAACACGGCCAAUAAUACCACUAAUAACAAAGGAGGUGAAUAGUGGAUAUAAAAGGUUAAAACACUCCUGUUCAAAUGAAAUGGCAGCGCAUUUCAGCAGUGUGUACGAGACAACACGAGACAUUCAGGCGAGAGGGAAGAACCACAGUGCGUUGCUGCGACGACGGAGGACAUGUCAUUGCAACAGGAAGCGAAGGCCGCGCCUCCUCAGCCGCAAGUCGGCAUUCACGCAGACGGCCAGUGCAGACAUGAAUCGUGUGCUCGUUUGCGUGCUGACUGCUGUGUUGAGUCUCGGAAACGGUGAGCAAACGGUGCACCAGCCGGCGGGCACUCAGUAACACUCAGUAAGCGUUUGGGAACUGAGGACACAAAUUGUUGGAGCUUUGCAGCUGGAACAUUUCCCAAUUUUUGCUUGAUGUACAACUUAAGUUGCUCAACGGGGUCUCUGUUGUCGUAUUUUGCACUUCAUAAUGUGCCACACAUUUUCAAUGGCAGAGAGGCCUCGACUGUUGGCGGGCCAGUCUUGUACGCGCACUCUUUUACUCCAAAGCCACGAUUUUGUAACACGGGAAGAAUGUGGCUUGGUAUUGUCUUGCUGAAAUAAGCAGUGACAUCCCCCCAAAAAAGACAUUGCUUGGAUGGCAGCAUAUGUUGCUCCGAAAACUGCAUGUACAUUUCAGCAUUUAAUGGUGCCUUCAAAGAUGUCCAAGUUAUCCGCCACUGUACAAGAAAAACCCUGCUUCUCCUCCACACCGUGCACGUUGAUGUCAUUGCAACAGGAAGCGAAGGCCGCGCCUCCUCAGCCGCAAGUCGGCAUUCACGCAGACUGCCAGUGCAGACAUGAAUCGUGUGCUCGUGUGCGUGCUCACGGCUGCUUUGAGUCUCGGAAACGGUCAGCAAACGGUGCACCAGCCGGCGGGCGAUGUCCACGCUGUGGAGGGCGCAAGGGUGACGCUGGACUGCAGCUUCGGCAGUACACGGAGCGACGACUUCAUCUUCUGGUACAAACAGCAAGUGAACGCAGCACCCGAGUUCGUUCUGAGCAACUCAAAGUUCAGUCGGGGCAAGACGGAGAAGAAGUACGCCGACAGGUUUCGCGCCAGCAUGGACGCCAGCGCCCUGCAAGCUCCUCUGCAUAUCGAGAGCGUGAAGCUGAGCGACUCGGCAGUCUACUACUGCGCCCUGCAGCCCACGCUGACACAUCCGCUGGCGUGCCUACACAAAAACACCUGCACGCGCCUCGUGCCACCAUACGUUGGGGGUGUGGAGCGAACGGCUUGAUUUUUCACCAUUUUGAACCCUCAUUUUAUAUCCCUUCAUUUUUUUUUAAUCAUUCAAAUUUUGAAUGGUUGUUAACAAUUUUCUCUUUGGUGUGUUGAAUUUCAAAGAAAUAUUUUGUUUAUAUGUUGCCAAUAAAAGGAAUGAGAUCCACUCACAGAAAUGCACAAUCAUUCACACCAUCACUGAGCGCGAACUGAACCCGAGUUAAUGAUUAUUUGCUAAAAACAAUCAAUUCAUUGGAAUUGGGGUUGUACAUCCGGUCCCAGUAAGCUUUGAAGACAGAAACCAUAGCUGCUGUCAUUUGUGACGCGGGUGCCAUGGCGACCACUUCCUUUGGAAAGAGUCGCGAUUAGGUU